AAAUAUUCAGAGAAAGAAACUAUUUGGGACAUGGGAACAUAAUGACUGUCUGGUACACUUACUUAGUUUAACAUUGGGAUUUCUGGAAGAUCGCCUGAAUAUGUUGGAAAAGAGAGAAACUUGAAAGCAUAAGACCAUUUAGGAGACUGCUAUUGUGAACCAGGCAUGGUUAGAAUCAGAAUAAAGAAAAGAUUGCUACCAUAAAUAAUCAGCAGGAUUUGGUAUCUGUGUAAACAUAAGGAAUGUAAGAAAAUGGAGACGUCAUUUUCUAUUCAGAAUCAUGAAAUCUGCCAUCAUAUUAACAUAUAUUGUGAAGAUCAGAUUCAGAAUAUGGCCCACUGAAGUUAAUUCAAAAGAAAAAGGUGUGGUAUGAUGAAAUAUACCAACCAGGAAAAACAUGAGGGGGUGUGGAAAGGAAAAAAAAAAUUUGUGACAACAAGGGAUGUAGAAGCUAAGAGAAAUGCCACAUAAUUAGAGGAAAAUGCUUAUGGCAGAGGAGUGUACAAAGUAAUAAAUGUCUGCUGGGAGUGAUGAAAUGUCAAAGCGAAACCGAGGCCCUGCCUUGUCAGAUGUGCCCCAGUGUUCCCAGUGUCACUGUUCCUCAUAUAAUAAAACUAAAGCCAUUUUAACCAACCACAAAACAAAUAAAAGGAGAAUUUCUCUU